UAACGUGCGAUUUGCCAUCUGCUUCGGAGAUGUUCCCGUUCGCUCUUGUUGACGCCACGGCUAUAGUGUUUUCGAAUGUCGACGCUGUGAAAAUGUAACGUGAUCGGACUCGGACGGUUGCCCUGACCAGACCACCCUCCGUAUUUAUUUUGCCGUCACUCGGGUCAGACGGACUCUGGUGAGGGACUUUGAACGCGUCUGAUAGUGAAUCAUUUACAUCGCAUUGAAAAAGGCACCCUGGACCGCCCAGAGAUACUGAUGUGCCAAAGAUUCCUAGCCUAUUUUCCGCCGCGUAUUUUCCCUUGCGACGUGCACGCUUAGAGUCUAUUUAUUUCCAAAGUAUGUUAGCCUUCCUACCUGGGAACUGGGCUGUUGCUGUGUGUGAUAGAUUUUUUUUAACCGGUGAACGAUCAAGGUGUGUCCUGACGCUCUUGACCCCCAGUAGUUCCCGGGAGGUUGAUAGUCUCUACGGGCCGAGUCCGAAACCGACCGGCGGAAACGGAUGUAGUUUUAGGGAACGUCGUUUGCAAUCCGUGUGACGUGUCACCCGCAGACAGAGAGGUGCCGAGCGGGCAGAGAAACGAAUCCAGAGGAAAUGGAGCGACGGCACACGCAAAGGCAAACGUGACUCGAUUCGUUUGAGGAUUGAUGAGGCCCACCAUUUUUCCGUUUUUCAAAAACCCAUUCACGUGGAACCCUGUCGAAUCAAAACACAUUAAGCUCGCUGUCUCCCUUCUCUGCGCAUCCUCGCUGAACCCGUCAGAGGACAUCAGGAGGCAAGACGACAUAUAAACCCUUCUAGACAAAUCCUCUUCUUCAUCACCAACAAAUAUUUCAGCCCUCGGUGCAUUAUUUAAGAACUCCAAGGAAGGAAAGUCAACUGCCCCGCACACAGAAUGCAAAGGAACAGAGUGUCUAUCCCUCUCUUUAAUGGGGUCAACACACCCAGCAAGUGCUCCGUAAAUAUUAAUAGUCUCAGCAGGAGAACAAACACCCAGGUUAGAAAAGGAGAGACGCGCUGCCCCAGCAUCCAACAGCUGUUCUCAGGGAUCCAGAUUAUUGAGGAAAUGAAUACCCUCACCCUUUUCAAGAAAAACUCCACCUGCUUCUGCCCAUCUGUGCCCUUUUGGCUCCUUGAUGUUCCCUGGUGGCACUGGGAACCCUGGAGAACCAGAAGUUGGAUUUCUGUUUUUCCUGCUCCUGACAAGAAGAUGGCUUCACUUUAGAGUGCACUCAUAAAAGGACUUUGGAGAACGAGAACAAUGCAAAUGUUUUAUGGCAUUUCCGAAGAGUUUCAUAGGUGCCAGACACCGUGUCAGGCACUGGGGUAGAUGAAAGACUGAAAAAUUGGACACAGUACCAUUCUACGUGGACUUAACGAUUUAAGAGUUGGCAGUUUCCAUCGGGCCUCCCCAGCCGCUGAUGUCUGCUUUCUCCGGGGUCUCUAGCAGCCACUUCAUCCUUAUUAAUGGGACCUAAAAGGCCGCCACAGUGGAAAGCUUGAACAUUUCCCCGGGGAGAUACACGGAAUAGAGGAACACUUCUCUCCCGAGUUCUGUCAUCCCUUUGAACCACAGAUACGCCUUUUAUUCUCCACUUUUUAGGCAUUGAUGUUUAAUGAGCUCUGUCAAAAAUACCACAAGUUCCCCGAGUCCUGCAAACAAUGGAAAAAUAUGAUGGUUAUUGCUUAUAGUGCAGGCUAGUGGUUAGAGAAAACCCAGAAAGCAAAGCUGUUCGCCACAGGCAAGUAAGGUCCCAAACCAGGUAAGAUCCUGCUUAUCAUUAAGAAGUCUUGGGUGGCACCGUCUCCUCGAGAAAAAUGUAAUUCACUGAAUUUGACCCGUCUAAUAUCCGUGGUGCUGGCCUAUUUAGAGGAGGAGCUGGGAUUUCUUUAUCCUGAUUCCCACACAGUCACACAUUUGUUCAGCUCGGGUACUGAGGAGAAAUGCAUUUCGUAAACACGGUUUCUGAAAAGAGGGUUUUAUGAGGCGGUCCUGAAGCCGUUACCGUCUGAUACGCGCUUUGUUAAACUGUAGGGAAAGCGCAGACCAGUGAAAUAGUUGACAGGGUCCUAGAAAUCCUAAUGGAUAGGAAAAUAUGCUUUUCAAUAGAAAAAGAGACAGACACACAGAGAGAAAGCAAACAAAGAGAAGCUGCUCGGGCUAAUCAACCCUGCUUAAGGGAAGACCACUUCUUAACCAACCAGGGUCAUGGCAGCAUCCGGCAAAGCUUUGCUUCCUCAGCUUUGUGAUCCGCAGUCUCUCAUAUUACCGCUCCUCUCAUUUGUCUUCCCUUCCGCCCCUGCGAACGGCCCUCUGGCAUUGCCAAAAAUUUGAGACAAGAAUGAAAAAUGUUUUGCUCGAUUGCUAACCUGUGAAAAUGUGAUUUUUCGCCAGUGUUGUGGUGGUGGUGGGGAGUUUUUCUCAGGGCUCUCAUCGGGGCUGGCUGGCUUUUGACGUGCAAGUAAAAUUCCUGCCUAAGUGAGUAAACGCCACUCUUGAUUGGAGCCCGAAAAGCUGUUUCAUCCUUUCGCUUUGGGCUAGGCUUUCCACUAACCUCCAGAGGAGCCUUCCACCCCCCUACGGAUCGGGAAACCGAGGGGAAAGGAGCCCAUGGGAGACGAGGAGGAGAGCUCCUGCACACGGAGGCCACACGAAAGGGCUUGAGCUGAGCAGCGGCAGCUGAUUAGCUCAUCCUUUAGCCAUCUCCAGGGAUUUUCAUUUUGGGAGCCAGAUCCUGCCCACGAGUCACACGGGAAUAUAGAAUUGCAGAGCAGGAAAGGACCUUCAGGGGUCUUCCCCUCCACACCCUCACCCCGCCUUCGGGCAGAACCUCACCUUGUCUGGGCCUCGGGCCCUGUACGGAAAUCUCGAACGUAUGUGUGUUUCUGUUGUUUGUGUUAAAUCUUGCCAGGUUCUUCAUAGGCAACAUUUCCUGCAUCCGCCCCUUCCUCCCCACCCAACCGGCUACCGUCCGGUCCAAACUCCCGGCAGAGCGCAGUUAGACUAUGUCGAAGCUUUGGUUUUCCCUCACCCCCAGCCUCUUCCCUUCAGUGGCGUGCCGUUUGCAGGGAUCAGCUUCUUCAGGUGUUACUCGGCACACAUCUGAACACCUAUUUUGUGCAGAGCACUGUACUAAGCAUGUGGGUGAGUGCAUUAGCUAGCAGACAGCGCCCCUUCCCUCGGGUAGCUUCUACUCUAGGAGGUUAGUAUAGUCUAGUGGUGGAGAAAGGUGAAUAUGCUGACCGAGUGGACUUGGAACUGCGACCUUCGGGCAUUUGCUAUUCACUCCACCGUCAGCUUCACAGCACUAAAGUAUAUCUCUAUGAAUUAUAUAUUUUAAAUUAUUUAUAUUUAAUGUCUGUCUCCCAUUCUAUACUGUAAGCAUUUUGUGGGCAGAGAACAUGUCUACUAACUCUGUUGUAAUCUCCCAAAUGCUUAGCACAGUCAACGGUCAACGAAUACCACCGGUGAUGACGACGACGACUAAUUCAACAUCUCAGCAGAGUAUCCGCUCUCUUCUGUGUCAACCCGACUUGCUCCCUUUGCUCUUUCCCCAUCUCCCUGCCCCACAUCAUUUAAGUUUAUACCUGUAAUUUAUUUAUAUUGAUGUCUGUUUAGUUAUAUCGAUGUCUGUCUCCCCCCACCGCCCUAGACUGUGAGCUCACUGUGGGCAGGAACGGUCUCUCUUUGUUGCCGUAUUGCAUUUUACCAAGCGCAGAGUACAGUGCUCUGCACACAGUAAGCGCUUAAUAAAUGCCACUGAAUGAAUGAAGGAGGAAUUCGUAUUACUGGAAAUGGGGGAAACAAGGUUUCCGUGAUGUGAUGGGCCUUAGUUACAGCAGAAGAGCUGUCACGGAAGCAGGAUUCCUAAAUUCUCGUCUAAGGAAAUUGACUUAAACUUCUUGGGGGUUUGGCUGAGGAGAGCCGCCCCGAAUGAAAAUCCCCCAGGAGCAAAUAAACCCAGAAAUCCACCUCUCUCCACGCACACCCACCAGCUGUGGAGAAGAGGGCAGGUUGCUGUGACCCGAGUGGUCAAUAAGCAGUCGACGGCCCUGGUGAGGAUGCCUCUGAAAAUGGCAGCCAGUCCCAUUCCGUUCAAUAAUUAACGGCUGGCCCCUCCAGGCUCCCGGCCCAGGGAGUGUCCCAGGAAACUAGGGACUCUGCUGACUGAUGAGCCUGAGGUCACCUGUGAUGUAUUUCUGAGAUUCAGAAAAUUGAACUCUUUCCCUUCCUGCUGCCCUGGCCCCGGUUCAUGUUCUGUGAUAAUAUUUUCCGGCACAGAAAACUUCCAGUCCGCACCAACAGAUUUGAUUUAUUCAACGAGACCACAGAGGGCAGCUAAUCACAGGCAGUGCCCUCCAGGAUGGAUCUCAGCGGACCUCUGGACGCCAGCUUGAACAGUCCCGUAAACCCUGCUGGCCGUGGACAGGGAGGCUUUUUCGCUAUGGAGAGGAUUGUUGAACAACUGAUUGCUGAACCCAAUUGUAUUUUAGGGGAGGCAGGAAGACAGACUAACUGCGGUAAUUGGCUCGGAAACACACCGGGGAGACCUUCCCAGCUAAGGUUCGGGAGAUGCUACAAACAUGCAUCGUAAGUUCCUCGGCGCUUCUCUCAGAGGUCACCGAUGAUCUCUUUCUCGCCAAAUACAAGGCCUCGCUUGGACCUCUCAGUCGUCUUUGACACUGUCAACCACCGCAUCGUAAGUUCCUCGGCGCUUCUCUCAGAGGUCACCGAUGAUCUCUUUCUCGCCAAAUACAAGGCCUCGCUUGGACCUCUCAGUCGUCUUUGACACUGUCAACCACCUCCUUUUCCUGGAAACACCCA